rnacentral:lncRNA from 1 species
GAGAUGUUCAAGUCUAAUAUAUCAUGAUAUAAAAUGAACCCACAUAAAUAAAUGAAAUGGGUUACAAUUAGAAUAUAGAAUAUGACCUCAAUUGGUUCUUUGUCAAAAUAUCAAUAAUGUGGCAUAGGUAGCCAUUAUAUGAAAUUACAUAUUAUCUAUGGUUUGUCAAAGAAAAGGGUGUUUCUCAACUAAUAUCUUAGCACAGGGCCCAAUACAUCAUGAAAACUAAAUUUGAGAAAAACAGCCAUGAUAAUCUGAAUACUGGGUAUGUGUAAACUUUAGACUACGUGUACUUUAGUGUUAUAUGAUUCAUUCUCAGAACUCAUUACAUUAUAUCUGCAGUUACUGAACAGAAAUAUUUUAAAUGAAUAAAGCUGAUGCAAAGAGGGUUUCAAAUGCAUAUGAAUAUAGAAUAAUUACUUAUAGGGAAAAUUCAAAAACAACAAAAAAAAAAAUAAAUCAAAAGUUACCAAACAAUGCAUUAAUUCAUGAAUAUAAAACUAAAAUAAUGCAUCAAAUCUAUUUGAUACAAAAAUCCAGAAAAGUAUAUUUUUGUAGAAAAUGCAGUCAAGAUAUUUAUAAACUUGACUACUGUUACCAUCAUAAUUCCACAUUUCACAGGUAAAAGUGUAGUCAUUUAACCACUUGUUGACCGAUAGUGACCUCUCGACCAUUACCCCAAACCAUAUAUAUAUAUUCUGAACUUAAGACCUAUUUAAGUAAAUAAAUAAGUAGCAUUUAAAGUUCAGGACAAAUAGUAAGAUAACGUGAUCAUGACUUGUUAUAAUUGGGGUCAUUCCGACUAAAGAAAAAUCUUCCAACUUAAGGGUCAUCUCCGACAUAGUUGAACU